GACGAACCGUGCGAACGUUAUUCGGAGUCACUGGGCUUAAAGCGCGUGUAGGCGGGAGGGCACGUCCGUCGCUGAAAUCCCCCGGCUCAACCGGGGAACGGGCGCGGAUACGACCUUCCUGGAGGGGCGUAGGGGGACCUGGAACUUCCGGUGGAGCGGUGAAAUGCGUUGAGAUCGGAAGGAACGCCCGUGGCGAAAGCGAGGUCCUGGACGCCUACUGACGCUGAGACGCGAAAGCCAGGGGAGCGAACGGG
rnacentral:rRNA from 1 species